rnacentral:rRNA from 1 species
CCUACGGGAGGCAGCAGUGGGGAAUCUUAGACAAUGGGGGAAACCCUGAUCUAGCCAUGCCGCGUGUGUGAUGAAGGCCUUAGGGUCGUAAAGCUCUUUCGCCAGAGAUGAUAAUGACAGUAUCUGGUAAAGAAACCCCGGCUAACUCCGUGCCAGCAGCCGCGGUAAUACGGAGGGGGUUAGCGUUGUUCGGAAUUACUGGGCGUAAAGCGCACGUAGGCGGAUUAGUAAGUUAGAGGUGAAAUCCCAGGGCUCAACCCUGGAACUGCCUUUAAAACUGCUAGUCUUGAGUUCGAGAGAGGUAAGUGGAAUUCCGAGUGUAGAGGUGAAAUUCGUAGAUAUUUGGAGGAACACCAGUGGCGAAGGCGGCUUACUGGCUCGAUACUGACGCUGAGGUGCGAAAGUGUGGGGAGCAAACAGGAUUAAGAUACCCUGGUAG